rnacentral:tRNA from 1 species
GCUGGUGUGGCUCAACGGCAGAGCAAUUGCCGAGUGAUGGGUUGCGGGUUCAACUCCUGUCACCAACU